rnacentral:rRNA from 1 species
CUAGUUGUCGGGUUUUAAUUAACUUGGUAACGCAGCUAAUGCGUGAAGUAGACCGCCUGGGGAGUACGGUCGCAAGAUUAAAACUCAAAGGAAUUGACGGGGACCCGCACAAGCGGUGGAUGAUGUGGAUUAAUUCGAUGCAACGCGAAAAACCUUACCUACCCUUGACAUGUACGGAAGGCCGAAGAGAUUUGGUUGUGCUCGAAAGAGAACCGUAACACAGGUGCUGCAUGGCUGUCGUCAGCUCGUGUCGUGAGAUGUUGGGUUAAGUCCCGCAACGAGCGCAACCCUUGUCAUUAGUUGCUACAUUCAGUUGAGCACUCUAAUGAGACUGCCGGUGACAAACCGGAGGAAGGUGGGGAUGACGUCAAGUCCUCAUGGCCCUUAUGGGUAGGGCUUCACACGUCAUACAAUGGUACAUACAGAGGGCCGCCAACCCGCGAGGGGGAGCUAAUCCCAGAAAGUGUAUCGUAGUCCGGAUCGCAGUCUGCAACUCGACUGCGUGAAGUUGGAAUCGCUAGUAAUCGCGGAUCAGCAUGUCGCGGUGAAUACGUUCCCGGGUCUUGUACACACCGCCCGUCACACCAUGGGAGCGGGUUUUACCAGAAGUAGGUAGCUUAACCGCAAGGAGGGCGCUUACCACGGUAGGAUUCGUGACUGGGGUGAAGUCGUAACAAGGUAGCCGUAUCGGAAGGUGCC